GUUUGCCCAUGGUAUCUAAUGUCCAGAAUCUAUAUUCGUGGCUGGACAUUUCGUUUCAAGGGCAGAAACAAAUUCGAAACAGGUUUUGCGACACAGUUAGCUGGUCUAUACAAGCUUUACUGUUACUUUAUCCCUGCUUACAUCU
rfam:Populus trichocarpa isolate Nisqually-1 chromosome 1, whole genome shotgun sequence.